CCCUGCGACCCUGUUCUCGGAUCGUCCGGCACGUUCCUGCCGGGAUGGGAUGACUGA
rfam:Nocardia asteroides NBRC 15531 DNA, contig: NCAST31.